ACGUCGCCUCUGUUCUACGGCCGUUGUUUGUUCCAAUUCCAUCGCCUGUGCUCCACUGCUCCCUCUCCCUCAACUCGAGGCUAUUUCAAUAGUAAAUAAUGCAUGCUGGGCUAUUGGAGAACUUGCAGUUAAGGGACUCAACAAGUCACUCAUAGAGGGAAUAAAGAGGGAAGAGAGGAAUUUCUUGUAGUGUUACUGAGCCACAUUCAGAUCUUGAGGGUGACAAUGAGGAGGUACUUUCAGUUUGCUUUGGGUUGGAUAAAUUGUGAGUUGGUUAAUUUGUUGUAACUGUUAGUUAGUUAGAAAUCAGAAGUUAGUUUGUUUCAGAUUUUGACAAUUUGCUACACUAUAUCUAUUAGACUAGCAUAUGUUAUAACAGUUAUUUUAGUUUUAGAAGUUAGUGUCAAUUAGUUUCAAAUUCUGAUCAUUGUAGAACUUGAUAGGAAGGAAUUUAAUUCAAAAGCUGUAAUCUUGCAUGUUUCUAAAUUCUAAGUGGUCGGUUCAGUCCCCUAUUGCAGCUCUUUUCCAUUUCUUGAAGAUAAGUAUUGUUCAUAAGUAUAGCAAUGGUCGUACUAAUAAGGUGAGUUGCAGAAGGAUCUAAAUGUGGGUGUACAUGGUGAACUAGUGAACUAGUGAAGUCAAAGUUUAUCAAGUGAUUGCCUUAAUAUUGAAUAUUGAAUGGCAGGGUCAACAAGGUUUCACGUUCAAAAAUCAGAGGAGGAAUUGAGGCCAUUCUCUGUCUGCCUCUGUCUGUCUCCCUCAUGAAUUCACAGACAGUAAAGAGAGGACAAGGAAUAGAGGAAUAGCCAAAGCACCAGGGAGAAAAAACAGGAGCGUUUUUCAAGUUUUUGGCUCUUCAUCAACCAUAGCACCAAGAGAAAGAGAAUGAUGGCCAAGGAGGGAGCUGACUGAAGCUUAAGAGGGAGCUAUGUUCCACUCACCCAACUGUUCUUCGAGUUUCUUUGCUAGUUGAGGACAACGACUUCAUCUUCUUUCUUUUCUCCUCUAAUUCAAAAUUCUGAUAAUUCUCUUGCUCCAUUUUUUUUCAGUUUUAUUCAAUUUCUGUAAACACAACUACCACCACAAGCAAAGAGAGGUGAGUGAUUUUCUCUCUUCUGUGUUUAAUUUGGUCGAAUGGCCUUGUGAAAUGUAACCAAAAUUCUGGUUCUUGGAACGGUUAAGGUUUAGGCUCAAGAGAAAAACAGGGACAAGUCUUGUGUAUUUGAUCAACAAAGAGGUAAAGGUUAGAAUAGUUAGAUAUUGAUUUUAGCUGUAUUUGGUGAUUAAAUGGCAGAAACCUUUCCAUUGAGUAUGCUUAUUCUCAAAUAAGUUAG